rnacentral:rRNA from 1 species
GAUGAACGCUAGCGGGAGGCUUAACACAUGCAAGUCGAGGGGCAGCAUAGGGUAGCAAUACUCUGAUGGCGACCGGCAAACGGGUGAGUAACGCGUAUGCAACCUACCCUGUACAGGGGGAUAACCCGGAGAAAUUCGGACUAAUAUCCCGUAAUAAUAUCCGGAGGCAUCUUUGGAUAUUUAAAGUUCCGACGGUACGGGAUGGGCAUGCGUAACAUUAACUGGUUGGUAAGGUAACGGCUUACCAAGGCUAUGAUGUUUAGGGGUCCUGAGAGGGUGGUCCCCCACACUGGUACUGAGACACGGACCAGACUCCUACGGGAGGCAGCAGUGAGGAAUAUUGGUCAAUGGGCGCAAGCCUGAACCAGCCAUCCCGCGUGCAGGAAGACGGCCCUAUGGGUUGUAAACUGCUUUUCCAGGGAGAGAAACUUACGCACGUGUUGCGUGACUGACGGUACCCUGGGAAUAAGCAUCGGCUAACUCCGUGCCAGCAGCCGCGGUAAAACACGAGAGUA